GGUUAGUGUGCUUUGCGAAUUCACAGGCCCUAUCUUGUGGUAUGAACUAAGUACGCGAUGAUUUCUGGUACGUAUUGGGGGCUUACCAUAAGAUAAUGCCGUGAAUUCGUAAAGCGUUCAAACC
rnacentral:miRNA from 17 species